GGAAGCCGGUGCAAGCCCGGCACGGUCGCGCCACUGUGUGCCACCCCUCCAGCCAGGCGAGGGUGGUGAGUCAGAC
rnacentral:sRNA from 17 species